UUGAAGAAGAAAAAGUGCGUCGGGACAAACUGAAGAAGUUUUUCUUCAUAGUCUUCUCCAAAAGAAAAAAUGUUUUAUAUGUUUAUUACUUAAAAAUGUGAAAGCUAGCGUUCUACAGUCUUUCUCAGGAACAUACGAAAUACAUUCAAUGUUUCAAGUUACAUCAAAGAUUGUUGCCUUAGCAAAAUCAGGUAAAAUCACUUUGGCACGAAAGCUGUUCGAUGAAAUGCAGCACAGAGACACAAUAGCUUGGAAUGCAAUGCUAACUAGUUAUUCUAAAUCGGGUCUUUAUCAAGAUGCUUUAAGUUUAUUUUCCGAAAUGAGAUUUUCUGACACUCCACUGGACGAUUUCACUAUUACGUCUGCUUUGAGUGCAUGUGCUGAUUUGGGGGAUUUCUAUCAUGGAAGCAAAAUUCAUGGGCUUGUUGUUAGGUCUGGAUUCCAAUCUUCAUUACCUGUGGGUAAUUGUCUCAUUGAUAUGUACGGGAAAUGUUUGGUUCCUUUGAAUGCGUGUAGAAUGUUUGAAGAAAUCGCUUGUCAAAAUGACGUUUCUUGGUGUUCUCUUUUGUUUGCUUCUAUGAAAAGUGGGCAAUUAGAUAGAGGGCAGUGGGUUUUCGAUAAUAUGCCAAAUCAUGUAGAAUUUGCAUGGAACAUACUUAUUGCUGGUUAUUCUCGAACUGGGAAGUUUGAGUUGUGUCUGCAGCUGUUUAGAAAUAUGAGAAAAACGGCAUCCAAGCCUGAUCUUUGGACGUUUACUGCACUUAUGAACGCUUGUGCUGAAUUACCCAAUUCAUACUAUGGUCGAAUGAUCCAUGGGUGCAUUGCGAAGACCAGAUGGAUAUCUGAAGUUGAAGUUAGCAAUUCCAUAUUAAGUUUUUAUGCUAAACUAGGCUGCUGUGAAGAUGCAGUUAAGAUUUUUGAGUCAAUAGAAUCCCAUACCCAGGUUUCUUGGAACGCAAUGAUUGAUGCUCAUAUAAAAGUUGGAGAUGUUCAUGAAGCUCUUGCGGUGUUUCAUCAAGCACCAGAGAAAAAUCUUGUUUCGUGGACUACUAUGAUUACUGGGUAUGCAAAAAGUGGCUAUGUGGAGAAGGCUCUUAGUUUCUUAGUUGACAUGACAAGAAAUCUUCUUCGGCCUGAUGAAUUUACUUUUGGAGCUGUUCUUCAUGGAUGUUCUAACUUGGCCUUUGAAGGACCUGGUAAGGUUAUUCAUGGUUGUAUAAUUCAAUAUGGUUUUUGUUCGCAUGCUUAUAUUGGAAAUAGCUUAGUUAACAUGUAUGCAAAGUGCGGAGACAUAGACGGAUCAACUCGUGCAUUCAGGGAUAUUAUCAAUAAGGAUUUAGUUACAUGGAAUACAAUGUUGCUCGGAUUAGGGCUACACGGACGAGUUAUUGAAGCUUUGAGAUUUUACGAGGAGAUGUUAGAAUCGAGAAUGAUGCCUGAUAAAGUAACAUUCAUUGGAAUGUUGAUGACUUGUAGUCAUUCAGGUUUUAUAGAAAAAGGCAAAGCGAUUUUUGAAUCCAUGGAGUCAAUUUAUGGAGUUGCUCAUGAAGCUGAUCACGUAGCUUGCAUGGUCGACUUGCUCGGAAGAGGUGGUUACUUACAACAAGCCAAAGAAUUGGUUGAAGAGCACUCUCACAAACUUAAGACCAGUUCAAACGAGACUCUACUUGGUGCUUGUGCCACACAUGGUCAAAUGGGACUUGGAGUAUCACUUGGGGAAGAUUUGAGGAGUUUGAAACCCGAAGGAGAAAUUGGGUAUGUGUUGUUGUCAAAUUUGUAUUGUGCAAAUGGUCUAUGGAAAGAAGCAGAGAAGAUAAGAAAAAUAAUGUUAGAGCGAGGAGUGAAAAAAUCUCCUGGUUGUAGUUGGAUUGAAAUGAAAAACAGAGUUAUGGUGUUUGUUGCAGGGAAUGAAUCUAAAAACCCCGAAAUGAAUGAAAUGUAUCAGAUGUUAAGAGUUCUAGAGUCUGAUAUGCGAAAUCCUAGUUAUUUUUGUAUUUGAGAAUUAUAACACUUCUUAUCGUUGUUGAAAUCCACAACCGAAACUAUGGAGUGGGAAGACGAUGACAAUAUCCAACAGGUUUCAUGAUAAAGUUACAACAGAGUUGGAAUGGAUGAGAAAUCAGGAAUUAUCUCACGAUCUUGUAGCUGAGGUUGCUGCAGAGUUGAAAGAUUUUGAUUGCAUUGUUGCUGGUCCAGAUCUGGGAAGGGAUCCACAUUCUUCUGGGUAUUUCUUGGCU